rnacentral:lncRNA from 1 species
GUGUAUUGUCCGAACAACCCUAAAAUUGUAUAUGUAAAUAACAUUUACUAAAUUUCGUGCAGUCGACAUGCUUUUCUUGAUUUAUCUGUCAGGAAUGCACAAACAUAAUCUUUCUAGUCUAGGGAUUUAUAUAUAUGUAUGUGGUAACGUUAGGAGUUAUAUGAACAUAAACCUAAAGGAUCAGCUAACCUUCAUCGUGAUUCUCUACCCGAAUCUUAGAAAGAUGAAUAAUUUCAUGAUCAAUUUAAAAACAUCAUAUAGAUGAUUAUAUAGAUCUUAUAAAAACGCACAAGCAAAGUACUGGAAACAAUAGCUGUAAGCAUCAACUGUACUACCGGUUAGCCGG